AUCAGAAUCAGUUAGAUGUCGCCCUUCUCACAGUCGGGGCUGAAAGCUGACAGCUCGCUGAUUCUGAUGUUUCGGCGGGUCGGCGCUUUGUGUUCACGCCCUUCAUGCGCUGAUUCUAAAGCUGUUAGUUUGAUGUCUCUCCGAACAAUAUUGACUGAACCAGCAGCAAAAGAAGAUCCAAACUACGCUUCACAUAAACAUCGUCAUGAAUUCACUCUGACUUUUACUGUUUUGCUUCCACCACGAUGCACAGCUCUCCCCCCCUCCCCCCCCCUCUCUUCAACAACAGUUUCCCGUCUAAAAAUCUGUUUUCUUCAUUAUUCGCUUGCUUGUUACGCACAACUCUACCGUUGUUUACAGCGCUGUCGGCCGACGUUUUUUUUCCCUUUUACAUUCUUCCGGAAAGAAAACCUAAUUUCUGCCGUUCAAUACUGAACAAAUGUAAACUUUUUAAAAUGAUGCAAAAUGCAAAACGCUUAGUCGUGUCUCUAAUAAAACCGCUGUAACGUCAGAGGUAAUGUUCAUGUGUUGAUUAAUGGUUUUCUUUCGUUUUUGAUGUACUGCAGAAUAUUUUUAUAAAAUCCCAGGCCAGGAAACUCGCCUUCAUGUUUUUCUGUGUUUUAUCUUCAGCUACUUUGACACAAAGGCAUCUGCUGUGACGCUCACACCUUUGAUAAAGUCUUGCGUGUGUCAGCUUCCUUUUUAUAGAUACAAAAAUAUGUAAAUGUACUGAUCUGAAUUAUAAUAUUUCUGACUGUCAAAAUUUCCCAGAUUCAAAUUGAAUUGAAUCGAAUCGAAUCGAUUCGGGACCUUGUGAAUCGGAAUUGAAUCGAUUCUAGAAAUCAGUGACGAUACCCAGCCCUAGUCCGGGGCUACGUUCAGGGCCAUCACUGGAGGAGGCGUGUGUGCUGAACUUCGUGGUCCUCGAGCAGUGUUUUUUGAGGGGCUGGCCGAGGCCACUGCCCACUGGGUCCGCUUCCAUCACCUGCCACCAGACCGGAGGCUACACGGCGGAGCUCAUCAAACGCUGAGUUUAGGCGCCGGCGUGUGGGGUCCCACAAACCCCUUCACAGCGCUGCUUUAGGCCGGUGGCCCAGAAUUGCCCGACGGCCACGGGGCCGCGCUUCUGAGCCACGGGGAGCCGCACAGAGUCCUGGAAGUGUGUGUGGCCGGGGCACCUACUGCGGGAAUGUCCAAUGAGUUGGGACGGGUGUUCCGCGUCCAGUGUCGCCGGGGCUACAGCACCCGCCCCUGGUCCCGGAGGUACGUAGCACAUUCCGGUAAGGUGUCGAGAAGGUGGACUCGGGCUGGACGCAGAUCCUGGUCCACCAAAGCUUGGUUCAGCCUGGGGCGUUGGAAGCAGAAUGGGUGGAGGUGAAAUGUGUGUAUGGGGACACAAGUAUCCUGUGGUGCCGCUUCUGCUACAAUACAAGGGCAAAACGCAAGGGGUAAAGGCGGCAGUUGGUCAGCGCCUGUUGCAUCCCCUAAAUUUGGACACCAACUAAUUGGCCAGGGUUACAUAGCUUGCUGGGGCAGUAUGCGGGGAUGAGACGUGGGGUCAUCUAACACUGACUCUGGGGGGAGGAGGCAGAAAAGUGUGCGCAAGCCCUGUUUAAGGUCAUCUCCCAGGUCGGUAUUCCAAAAGAAAUACUGACCACCCAGGGCACGGCGUUCAUGUCUCGCACACUAAAGGAGCUAUAAAAAUUACUGGGCAUUAAAUCUGUUCAGACCAGUGUCUACCUCCUUCAGACUGACAGGCUGGUGGAGCGGCUGAACAAGACUUUAAAGUCCAUGAUUCAUAAGUUCAUACAUGAGGAUGAACGCAAUUGGGAUCGCUGGUUAGACCCUCUGUUUGCAGUGAGGGAGGUACCCCAGACCUCCACAGGAUUUUCUCCUUUGAGUUGCUGUAGAGCAGACAGCCAUAGAAGGUGCUCGACCUGAUUAAAGAAAACUGGGAGAAAGGGUCGAGCCCCGUGAAAAAUGAGAUUCAGUACGUGCUGGACCUGAGAGCAAAACUGCACAGGUUGGGGAGUCUGUCACGGGCAGGUGCGUCCGCAGGUGGAGGAAACAGCAGCGAUUGCAUCCUGUCUGCGCCGGAAGACCAAAAAGGAGGUGGGACGUCUCCUGGGGCUGGCAGGCUACUACUGCCGGUUUGUGCCUAGGUUCGCGGACCUGGCCAGCCGCUUGACCGAUCUCACCAGGAAAGGUGCCCCCGAUCUGGUCCAGUGCCAGGUGGCGUUUGUGCAGCUAAAACAGGCUCUCUGUGGGGAGCCGCUGCUGUUCACACCUAACUUUUGGUGGUUGUGGCCGAUUUCCUCUCCUGCUCGCGGGGGUGUACGUUCGGCUGGCCUCAGUCGGGCGGUGGGGGUGUGUGGGGGAGGUGUGGUUUCUGGCCUGCUGCAGCGGAGGAGUGACACAGUGAGCUCGCAGGGCGGUGCGCAGGCGGGAAGAACAGUGAAAAACAUGUUUCGGCUCUGCUCAAACUCAAGACAAACCUCUCCAAAGCCGACAGGAAAAUCGUCAAAACCACUCUGUCAGACACACUGAAAGAGAGCCGUGCUGAUCCUGGAAUCCGGAAGUUUUUCUCCAAAAUUAAAGUGAGAUGAGCCGCACAUUUGCUUCUUAGAGUAUCACUGACUGAGAGUUUGGUUGCAGAGCAGCAAUAUUAUCGUGUAUUAUAUUGUGUUACAGUCUAUCUCUGUAAAGACAUACAGAGUGAAUGCCAGGGAAAAACCUUCAGAUGCUACUUAGACUGAAAUCCCUAUUAUACGCAGACUCGGUGAUGGUGAAUGCUUGCUGUAGUUACUGUAUGUUAUUGUAUACAUAAGCUAGAUUUUACAUUCAUGCUGGCAAUUUUUGUGCAUUUCAUAGAAACUGUGAAUAAGUAUGCAAGAGUCUGUUUUUACACACUUACAAACAGGUCAGUGCCGUUCUAUUAUAUGUCGUUUUGUUUAAAAACUACAAUGAUAUUAAAGUCUAGUUUUUUCAUAAGUUGUAUUUUAUGCUAUAUUGUAUUACAGAGAAUUAUACAUGUCUCAUGUACAUAAAAAGAUGUAAGUUGAGUUUUUUUUAAUAAAUGUGCAAAAACCAGC
ensembl:lncRNA